rnacentral:SRP_RNA from 1 species
GCCGGGCGUGGUGGCGGGCGCCUGUAGUCCCAGCUACUCGGAGGCUGAGGCAGGAGAAUGGCGUGAACCUGGGAGGCGGAGCUUGCAGUGAGCCGAGAUCGCGCCACUGCACUCCAGCCUGGGUGACACAGCGCGAGACUCCGUCUCAGAAAAAAAAAAAAAAAGAAAUAGAGUUUCACUCUGUCACCCAGGCUGGAGUACAAUGGCAUGAUCUCAGCUCACUGCAACCUCUGUCUCCCUGGUUCGAGCGAUUCUCCUGCCUCAG